rnacentral:rRNA from 1 species
AUUGAACGCUGGCGGCAUGCUUUACACAUGCAAGUCGAACGGUAACAGGGUGCUUGCACCGCUGACGAGUGGCGAACGGGUGAGUAAUGCGUCGGAACGUGCCGAGUAGUGGGGGAUAACGCAUCGAAAGGUGUGCUAAUACCGCAUACGUACUGAGGUAGAAAGUGGGGGACCUUCGGGCCUCACGCUAUUCGAGCGGCCGACGUCUGAUUAGCUAGUUGGUGAGGUAAAGGCUCACCAAGGCGACGAUCAGUAGCGGGUCUGAGAGGAUGAUCCGCCACACUGGGACUGAGACACGGCCCAGACUCCUACGGGAGGCAGCAGUGGGGAAUUUUGGACAAUGGGCGCAAGCCUGAUCCAGCCAUGCCGCGUGUCUGAAGAAGGCCUUCGGGUUGUAAAGGACUUUUGUCCGGGAGCAAAUACCCAGUGCUAAUAACGCUGGGGGCUGAGAGUACCGGAAGAAUAAGCACCGGCUAACUACGUGCCAGCCGCCGCGGUAACAC